CGUUAUCUUCCUUCCGCUACAAAUCCCAUCCGAGCAGAUAAAAGCUCCUCACAGCUCCUGGGGCUGUGUCCACCCCCAAGCCCUGCUCACCUGCAUCCACUGAGGGGGGAGAUGGGGAGGAAGCCAGUCCUGGCAGAGUGCUGAACACGCUGUGGGUCCAGGUGAGCUCUCUCCCAGUGGGAGCAUCCAAUGAAGGCUGCAGCAAAGAGUGAGUGGAAGAGCAGAGCCAGGAGCUGCACGGGCGCAGCAGGAGCCCACUGCUGGAUUUUCCUGGGAGGAGACCCUGCUGCUGCCUUGCUCCAUCCCACUGGCCUCAGCUGACCCGGCACACCGAAGAAAUCAGCGUUCUGAGCAGGCUCAGGGUUGGAUUUGCUUCUUACAGCUUCCCGUCCUGAUGAGAAAGGCAAAGUUAUUUUGGGAACAUCAUGAAUGAAAACCGAGAGGUGACCCAGGCAGCCAUGAGGUGGGGGCAGCCAGAGACAACACUUCUACCCACAGAAGAUGCUCCGGAGGCUGUUCGCCUUUGAUUCCUUCUCCCCAGUGCAAUGAGGAGCAAUUAUCCUUCCCAUAAAAGACUCCUUCUUUUAGGGGACUCAUAGCGACUUCAAAGAAAGGGCAGGUCUCUCUGGGGAACAAAGUUGUCAUUUGAGUGAUUCUAGGCUGAUGAAAAGUGCCCGCCUGCUGCUGCCCGGCCCUCUGCUCCCACCCAGGCUUGGUUCAAAGCGAGCAGCCCCAGGGGAUGGUGCAUUCCAUGCAGUGAUCCCAUGCUGUGGGACCCCACCUCGGCCGGGACCUGCAGCUCUGAUGCUCACCUGGCAUUGCCCAUAGGGCUGAGCAGCAUUUUGGGGCUCACUCCUUGCAAACAGGAGCUGCUUCCCAGCUGCUGCUGUGGUUGUAGGUGGGAGGAUGGGCACAGUGACCCCAUACCCAAACAUUGCAGCAGCCUUGUGGGGAAGCAGCCUGGUUCCCCAAGCUCUCAGCACCCAAUUGCCUGCAGCCCCAUGGGAUGUGAUGCGCUGAAAGAGUCCCUGUUUCAUCCCUCACAUGCGGAAAGAAAGCACAAAGAAGUCACACAAGCACCAGCAGCUUUGCUGGAGCCACUUAGGGCUGUGCUACCCCACGCAGCGAUGGGAGGGAGCUGGGUUGCAAUGAGGCAGAAGGCACCAGAAAAGCAGGCUGGUUUCAGGUGUCCCGAGCGCUGCCGACCUGAUCUUAUCUCCAGCUCUGGGUAGGGGUUAUCUCUGCUUCCUGUGAUGAAAGCACCGUGAGAGACAGUGCUGGCAGGGGAGGUGAGGUGAAUGCCAUUUGGUAACACAGGUGUCUGACUUUACUUGCGACAAAGGCAGCCCCGAGGUGCAGAAAGACCCCUGUCCAACCUUGAGUCCCUGCCCCUAUUGCCCCCUGCAUCCCCACCUUGGGUGCAGGACACCUCUGCUCCCUCACCCCAGCUCCCCAUUGCUUUUGUACUGAUGAGUACUGAUGAUCUGCAACCUCCACCUGCCAUUUCCUCCAAGCUGGAAUUCCCAGCUCCUGGAUUCAGCCACCUCCACCUUUUGGUCGAUUUCAGAGCCCAACAUUCUUUCUCAGGACCCAUUUUUCUCCCACUUCACUCAGUCCCAUCUCAACCCAGCGUUAGCAGUCAGCAGAGCUGAGGCUGCGAGCAGAAGCCUGGACGUGGUGGGGGAUGAGGCAACGAGGGGCUGGGAUGCAAAUCUUGGCAGAAACCUUCUCUGAGGCUUUCUGGCUCCCAGCAAUGCUCCAAUCUGCUAAUUGACUGCACGCAGCCCCGGCUGAGCUCUGACUUCCAGCUUGUGCAUCGCUCAGCACAGCCGCACGGAUGCGUGGGAUGCACAGCAUCCUCGUGUCACGUUUGUGGGGAACAAUGGGGCUGCUGAGCAAAGCCAGCCCUACAUGGGGACACUGCAGGCAUCACUCUGUGUCCCUGUCCCGUCCCCCACCUCCCCAGACAGCUGCAUAGGUUCAUUUCCCUGGCAAAUGAACAGCGGGGAAGGGGGCAAAUAAUGCUGGAGCCCAGGUGGCCCCUCUCACUGCCCAGUCCCAAUGGGAUACUGGCGGGGGGACAGGGAGAGAAAGGGGGAAUGAGUGGUCUGGGAGUGCUCGCUGGUGGGGAUUAAAGGCUCAAUCUUGAGAUGAGAGAAGGAAAUGAGAAUUAAAUCAGUUCCUAGCGCCUGUUCGGUGUUGGGGGAGGAUUUAUUGCUGGGGUCAGGACGGCAGCACAG
ensembl:lncRNA